rnacentral:rRNA from 1 species
UUGAAACACCAGUUCUUGUAUGAUCACCGAAGUUAAGCAAUGUCUAGCCUGGUCAGUACCUGAAUGGAUGACUGCUUGGGAGUACCAGGUGCUGUAAG